rnacentral:rRNA from 1 species
GACGAACGUUGGCGGCGUGCUUAAUACAUGCAAGUCAACUGAAGCAGUGGUAGCAAUAUCGCUGUGGAGGUGGCGCACGGGUGAGUAACACGUAGGUAAUCUGCCUUCAGGUCUGGCAUAACUCCGGGAAACCGGGGCUAAUAGCAGAUGAUGCAGCGGCUCGACAUCGAGACAGUUGUUAAAGCUAUGGCGCCUGAAGAUGAGCCUGCGUCUGAUUAGCUAGUUGGCGGGGUAACGGCCCACCAAGGCAACGAUCAGUAGCUGGUCUGAGAGGAUGAUCAGCCACACUGGAACUGAGACACGGUCCAGACUCCUACGGGAGGCAGCAGUAAGGAAUAUUGCUCAAUGGGAGAAAUCCUGAAGCAGCAACGCCGCGUGAGGGACGAAGGGCUUUUGCUUGUAAACCUCUGUAGUGAGAGAAAAAAAUCCCAAUCUUUGGGACAUGAUGGUAUCUCAAAAGUAAGCCCCGGCUGACUACGUG